rnacentral:lncRNA from 1 species
UGCGCGUCCCGCACGGCACAUAAAAUGGGGCACAUGAGGCACCUGAAGCUCUCUUGAUGUGUUACAGUUCAUGCAUCUGCGCUCCGACACGUGCCCCUCGUACUGGUGUCGUGGUGUGCCAAAAUGGUGCAAGUCCGCACGGCUCUCCCGCCCGCUCCAUCCACACGACCCGCAACCCACCACGUGCUGCACGCACACAUUCUACAAGGCCUACCAUUGCUACACAACACUAAACGUACAGACCAGGCAUACUCAGGGUCUCGAGGCAAGUGUGAAGGCAACCGAUACGGAUCCCUGCCAGCACUACACCGCCGAUCACACCAUAACACCAUGCGCGCACAGCGCAGCCUGCCAAUUCCGCUGCCGCCACCUGAAGUCUGCCGCUUGCCGCUAGCCGCCUCCAUACUUGAGCUCGGCCUGCAUGGUGUUUGGGGUAAGUUGGUCAGUGCAUGGUGGCACGGUGUCGUGCAGGGCAGGGCCUAGACCGCAUUCGGUCCCCUAUAACUAACUUCCCAUGUACGUCAUUCAAAUCCUAUCAUUCAUCCUAUUAUGAGUUGUGUAGCAACUUCCGAUCAAACUUGCCUGGUGAGGGUUAGAAGGGCCACGCAUCUACGCGCGCUGCGCCCCGAGUCGAAUUCCAGUGCCGGACCUGAGGAGACAAGGGGAGGGGGAGGGGGGGAGCUUCACACUCUGAAUCUCUGCUUAUGCUCUUACAACUUCGUCCAUACUGCGCAUGGAUGCUAGCUCGCUUGACCCCCUGAAUUUGUUGUCGCUUGUCGACCCCUGAAAUGGCUGUCGCUAUGUGUCCUGACCUGCCUCACCUGGCACUGUUGAUUCCAGACUUGGUCUCUGAUGCUUGAUUUACAUCCUGUAACAGCAGCGUCAAGACCUGGCUUAGUUGUAGACCCGGUCAACGAGGGUCCGACACCCCCUGCGACAGCGCAGCCCAGCCCCAGCCCCAGCAGCUCAUAACAUACCUUCCAAAGAUUGAUGCCAGGGCUUAGCAGGACUUGAAGACUCGCCCUGUAGACUUGAGCGCCAACUUUGAAAGCAAGUCCAUGGCCGACUGGCAGAGGACCACGAAGUCUCUACAUGGUGCUGAACGAUAGGUAUGUAGCUACAUGUGACAAAGACAGGUUGCUUGAAGAGUGAAGAACUGAACUCGAAAUAUAUGAGCCCCAUGCAGCCCCAUGCAACAAGGAACGCGCUCCAUGCUGGGUCUUGAUUUGCUUGCAUGCUCCGGCUUAAGUUAAUCUACAGCAGGCCGGUACGUCAGUCUUCAGCGCCGGUCCGGGCACGGGUCUCGCCUCCGCCUGCGCCUCCGCGGCUUGUGCUUAGGGAACCACCUGAAGCUGGAUACCGACUUUCUCGGCUUCGCAUGGUUCGUCUUUACAGCUUUCUCAAUAACGGGGAAAGCCUCUCAUGCACACGCACCUCCGCUCAUGCCCACCGCCGCAUGAAGGAAGGCCAGGGGAGGCC